AUGCUACCUACUGUAUACACAGUAGAUGAAGGGAUGACAGAUGUCCGUUCCCAGGAACUGGUGAGACAAGCUGAGGUCAGUAGGUGCCAGCAGAGAAGGAUGCCCCUAGGAUUAAACUCACUUUGCCACCCUCCACUCCCCCAUCCCCCCACCAACUCCAGUAGGUUAAAUCAAUUCCACCUGCUUCCAAAUGCUUCACAACAAGAAAGAAAAAGGAAGAGGAGGAAAGCUCUGAAAGGCCAAGCAGGUGCCUCAGAGAAACUGAGUGUACCCACAAGAGACUGUUCUGAACCCAAGGACAUAGCAACCUUGAAAUGGCGAGUCUACUCCCACACUCCACCCCUGUUGGUAGAGAAUAGGGUGUUUAGAGCAAGGUUCAUGUUAGAAUUGAAGAUCGGCAGAGAAGACCAGCCAAACGUGGGGACGCCUUCAGCCAGCUGGUGACAACUAAGGAGCUUUCAUUUUCUCCACUAUGGAUGUCCGGCAUAUGGCGGGCUUUCUACCGAAAUCUGAGCAUAAUGUGUGUUCUGCAUCUAAGGGACAAAUCGCUUGACUUGAGAUCAGGGUCACAGGGCUGGGGGAACUGCGGUUCCUCAAACAAAGGGGACUGGGAGGUCUUUUGGCUGCGGUAGAAUGCUCAGGUUAGGGAAAUUUGGUCUCUCUGCGGGUGCUAUUUUUAGUGGCCUCAGGCUGAGGGGAAUUGGGUUUACUUCAGGUAUUUAGGAUAUAAGCACCAGGGCAUUUCUUGUUUCUGUGGCUUGUAGUCCCUAAAGCAGACGAGAUGUGAGUUCCCUUCAGGUUAGGACCUGGGUUCCUCAAAGCUGUUGGGAUCUGGGGUCUUCCAGCCUGGAAUUUGCGGAGAAGGCAAAGGAAACCCACUCCAGCACUCUUGCCUGGAAAAUCCCAUGGAUGGAGGAGCCGGGUAGGCUGCUGUCAAUGGGGUCUGUAGGAGCUGGACACGACUGAGUAACUUCACUUUCACGUUUCACUUUCGUGCAUUGGAGAAGGAAAUGGCAACCCACUCCAGUGUUCUUGCCUGGAGAAUCCCAGGGACAGGGGAGCCUGGCUGCCGUCUAUGCGGCCGCAGAGAGUCGGACACGACUGAAGCCACUUAACAGUAGCAUAACGCGUUUGUACUCAGAAAUUAGUAUUUGUUUCAAGGGUUCUCUGUCUUGGAAACAAAUAUCACACUAUGGAGGCCUAAGAGGACGUGAGCGAACAAGAAAUGGAUCACCUUUUCAGCGAGGCCCCCGCUGGGUGCUAGCUGUAAGGCGACCGCCACCAUGGAAGUGUCAGGAGUGGGUGUGCCGCGUGAGAAAAUGAAGCCCUGGCACAAACGAGAAGGAGGUGCUGGAAAAAAGGCAUUUACCGUUGCCCAGGAAAAUGGUGAUCUCCAGCCCUCAAGAUGGGAAAACCGGAGUCUGUGCCUGUGUAGAGACGGGAGGAAGGGUCAGUGGAGCUAGAGGCAUGGAAGCGGUGGGCUGAGUCUGUGUAGCCUCCUGCGCCCUUAGAAAGGCAAGACCCCUCCCCUGUGCACGCUGACAGCUCUGCCCCAUCCUCUGCGCAUCUAACCCGAGAAGCGGUGUGUGUUAAACAGCAAGGAUGAUAGCGAGGGAGGGGGAAUGGGUCAAGUCCUCUUACCCUCCCUACCUGCUGCCCUAAAACACCGAGUCUAUGGGUGCAUCCCAAACCUUUAUCACGUAAAGGCAAGCAUCCUGAUAAAACUGCACAUGAGUGCUGCUGAGAAACGAAUAACAUGAGUCUCUUCCCAUCUCGAGUAAACUCUUCUUUAUGAAAUGUAGCUAGAAACCCACAGGAAUUGAUGUGUAAGAUAUUAGCAACUGACCAAGGGAUAUAUGAUACUGUCAA
ensembl:lincRNA